AGCCUCUGGUCCUGUGUCAGAGAACGAUGAGCGCCCUCAACUCGCAGAUGCACAGUCUCCAAAGGGAAGCCAUUGCCGAGUUCCCAGCAGCACGGAUCCAUUUGGAGGUGACUCAAACGAUCUUUAACAGAACUGAGCAAGUGGUCUCUCAUCUCACAGUCCUGCUGCACUGUUGGUGGAUACACACGCUUUACGAGGAUGUUUUGAGGGGAGUGUGUUACAAAGCUCUGGAGGGUCUCUGUACCUCAGCCUAUUCUCAGUGCUGACAGUGACGGCUUUCUGCUGUCUCGUGUGCGUCCUGCCUCAAGUCCAGCUCUACACCCAGAGACUCAGGACCCCGGGACGCUGUGACCUCGAGGAGGACGAUGGGGAGGAGGUGGGCCACUUUGCGAGCCAGGCCCCGAGGCGACCCCACCAGGUUCGGGACUGGGUGCCCGCCCUGUGUCCCUACCCUCGGCACCGUGCCAGGCCUUCUGGGGUCCGGGCCUCUGCCCCACCCAUCUCCUUGGCCCAGCUCCCUCACUAUGCGUGACUCCCUGCCAGAGAGCGGGGGACAGGGGAGCCAGGUAAUCAUUGCCCAUCUGUGGGGUGUUGAUGGGGUCGGGGGUGGGCGGGCAUCGUGCCAUCUUCGUUCUGACGCCAACGAUCCACCUGAAUCCCCCUUAAACCCCCACGCGCCUCCCCCCCAACUCUGCCCCUCUGCUAUGUUCAAAUAAAUCAACCC